GACGAACGCUGGCGGCGUGCCUAAUACAUGCAAGUCGGCCACAGUUGCGAACGGGUGAGUGACGCCUUCUUACCUACCUAUUAGAGGUGGAUAACUAUUGGAAACGAUAGCUAAUACCGCAUACUAGUACAUGGAUCUGCGGUGUAUUAGCUAGUAGGUAGGGUAAGGGCCUACCAAGGCGACGAUCCGUAACUGGUCUGAGAGGAUGAUCAGCCACACGGGAACUGAGACACGGUCCAGACUCCUACGGGAGGCAGCAGUGGGGAAUAUUGGACAAUGGGCGAAAGCCUGACCCAGCCAUGCCGCGUGUGUGAAGAAGGUCUUCGGAUUGUAAAGCACUUUAAGUAGGGAGGCGGUACCAACAGAAUAAGCACCGGCUAACUUCGUGCCAGCAGCCGCGGUAAUUC
rnacentral:rRNA from 1 species